GUGAAAGGAGGAAGCUUUUUCCAAGGAAUAACAGAGGAUCCGAGAGUGAGAUUGUGUUUCCCGGGGCUAAAGUCAGUGGGAGCCCACGCUUGUUUGUGCAUUAAAAAUGCAUGCCUUUCAGGAAAAAGGAAGACAUAAUGGAGGGUGCCAUGAAAGAGAGAAGAGAAGCAGCAGAAAGAACAAAAGAGCCUCAGAGACAAGAGAGAUCAGUAGGAGUAGGGAAGAGAGAGUGUGUAAAACAAACACCUUGGUAAACUAACAAACUUGAUCUCAAACAGCAGAGAAGUGGGUCCGUGGGAGAGAUGUCACCACUAUGCAAAGCAAGCAGAUGCCUUCUGUGGGAAGAGGAAAAGUUAAAGAGAGUUUCAUGCCACGAUCAGUCUAUGAAAUUUCACUCGAUUGAACCAUCAUCAAGCAAGCCCUUGACCUGUUGAAGUGCUGCAUUGGAAGACGUGCAUUCCCGUGGGUCCCUAUAGAGAAACCCAGCUUUAAGAAUUCCACCAUUCAUGCAUUAUAAUAUGAUCAAGCCAAGAUUGGACUCUUCAUCAUGGACUGUUAUGUGAGAAGUUAAAAGAAAAGAAGUUGAAAGAAAAUGGUUCCCUUUGAAUUACAAGUCUCAAAAUAAGAAGCCAGGUUAUACAGUUUGACCUGUAGUUCUUCAUGGGAAAUGUAUGGCCCUACGUGAUCUAUAGGAUAUUCCUUCUGAACAGGGAACUAGGGUUGCUAAUCCUCCCGGCUUGGCUUGGAGUCCUCCAGAAUUGGCUUUAAAUGGGCAAUCUGCAGUUCAGACGACAACAAAACAGUCAACCUGCCACUGUUGUUUCAGGUUGGAUGUACCAAUAUUUUGAGUCACUAUUCACAUCAUAAACAAGUACAACGGUCACCGUGGGGGAAAACAACUGCCCAGUAAACAUAGCUUAGAUUUACAUAGGUAUUACUUCGAAACAGAAAACUAUUUAGGGGUUCUCAUAUGUUUACAAUGUUGUUUUGAUUAUUGCUUCAAAAGUCACUAAGCUUCUAUUUGGUUGUGAUUAGUUACAAAAUACCUAUUUUGGAUGCAGAAGUUGAUAGGUAGAACGCUAACCCUCAUUGACAUAGGCUCGAAGCAAAGCUAGCCAAAGAGCCAUGUUACUGGUUGAAAUGUAAGUGUUUUUUUUAAAAGUAUAAUGCAGUUGAUUUGCGACAGUGACACAAAACAUUAUAUUAAGCAAGACAUUCAUACAAGCAAGAACAUGUAAAUGAAUGGUUUUUUUAUUGGCGGUUUAUGAUAACUCUGUGUUUUCCCCCAUGUCGGGACAUGGUGAAUGACAUGCGGACCUUUGCAUAAUGUGUGAGACCCUAAAUGCAAUAAAAUGACGUGUUUGGUGACAAUUCA